rnacentral:piRNA from 1 species
CUCAAAGACAUCUGUGCUGCCAGAAAGCCC